CGAUAGAUAAAUGUUUCUUGGAGAAAAUCAGUAUCACCCACUGAGGAAACCUUUUGUCUCAAGGGCAGGGUGAAAUGGAGCUCAACAGAAGAAGGAAACAAACGAGAAUAGGGGCAUUUGUUAAGCGUGGACUUCCCCUCUCAGAUUGGGCUCAUGGAGGAUCACACCUCACCAGUUCUGAGUCCUGAACUUAGGAAAGCAAACUAACCUUGUCACCAUCUAGCUGGAAGUCAUAGGAUGUUUAUAUGGCAAACAGCCUUGGAAGAUACAGAUCACAUCCCUCUGGAGAAGAAGGCAGAUUUGCUUACUGUCCAGUAUUGUAAAAAUAAUUUUUCCCAAUGGGGCAAAGGGCAGGCAUGCUGGUUGCCCCUUAUAAAAGAUUCAGUUUCCCUAAGCUUGGAGUUCCUCAGGUGUAAUGCACACCCACUGCAGGCAAGGAUCCAAUGGAGCCCUUCUGUGUCAGUCCGUGGGACGUGUGGAGUAAGAGGAAUUGACAAACAUGAGACUCAUGCUUCGGGCUAUACUUGAAUCAAGGGCAUCUGCUGGCAACUCUGUGGAUUCUGUUGUUUGCAAACAGCAAGUAAACAUCAUCCAUUGUCUGGGCUUUUUGGAAUGGAAGUUGUUAUAACAUGGGCACUAAGAAACUUUACUAUGCAGUCAGAGAAGAAGAAGGAAAAAAGGGGCUGAAAAAACUGAGAAGAGGACCCUAGGGGAAUUUCUGUGAUUACUGAUUUGUGCUGAAGCAAAAGUGGCCCAAAUCUGUUCUUGGGAAUUCCCUCAUUUUGUUGAUAAGUCCACAUAUGAAGUGACACGUAGGUGGUACAGAAAUAUUUCUUAUAAAGCGUAAAUCGAAUACUUAAGUUUGGAAGCACAGUCCUAGCGACCUGGAAUGGAGUUUCUGGUUCAUUACACAUUCCAGUGAACUGAGGGCUCACAAUUAAAUGUGGAGACUAGAGUUUUUGCAUCCCAAAUUGGGAUAUAUGGUCUGACAAACACAUGUCUACUUAUACAACAAUUGAAAAUAUGAAAUUGAGAUGGUCUUGGAAAAGCCAGAAUGGACACGAUAUAGUUAAACAUACACAUUUUAACAAUGUUAAAAUUAUGAGUUGAUAAAAUACAAUUAAUACAGAUUAUGUAUCUGUUGAUUCAGUGACCUCAGGGUCAUAUGAACACCAAUGAAAAAGUUUUUUAAUCGUAGGCUAUUUUAAUUUAUAUCUGUUUUGGGCAAAUGGUGCUUCAGUGGAUACAGGUUUUUGUUUUGGUUUGGGUUCGUUGGUUUAACCGUGGUUGUACUUCUGUUUGAAUGGUUCUCUGAGAAAUGAUGAAGAUUUUCAUUGAAAAGCUUUCUAUCAUGUCUGAGGGUUUAGUUGCACAAUAUUUCU